rnacentral:lncRNA from 1 species
UUUGAUGUAGAAAGGAAGCAAGACCAUUUACCGAUGGUGGCUUCAAAGAAACUUGACAUUUACCGAUGUCAACUUAGCAAGACCAUUUACCGAUGGCUGCUGCAACUGGGAAUUCGACAUUUACCGAUAUCGAAGGAAACUGGGCCAUUUACCGAUGGCAUCUCCACUUGGGGAAUCAGACAAGACGUUUACCGACGACUUCUGGGGAUUUUGAUUUUAUUGAC